AUUGAACGCUGGCGGCAUGCCUUACACAUGCAAGUCGAAUGGCAGCACGGGUGCUUGCACCUGGUGGCGAGUGGCGAACGGGUGAGUAAUACAUCGGAACAUGUCCUGUAGUGGGGGAUAGCCCGGCGAAAGCCGGAUUAAUACCGCAUACGAUCUACGGAUGAAAGCGGGGGACCUUCGGGCCUCGCGCUAUAGGGUUGGCCGAUGGCUGAUUAGCUAGUUGGUGGGGUAAAGGCCUACCAAGGCGACGAUCAGUAGCUGGUCUGAGAGGACGACCAGCCACACUGGGACUGAGACACGGCCCAGACUCCUACGGGAGGCAGCAGUGGGGAAUUUUGGACAAUGGGCGAAAGCCUGAUCCAGCAAUGCCGCGUGUGUGAAGAAGGCCUUCGGGUUGUAAAGCACUUUUGUCCGGAAAGAAAUCCUUGGCCCUAAUACGGUCGGGGGAUGACGGUACCGGAAGAAUAAGCACCGGCUAACUACGUG
rnacentral:rRNA from 1 species